rnacentral:rRNA from 1 species
UACGGGGGGAGCAAGCGUUGUUCGGAUUUACUGGGCGUAAAGCGCGCGUAGGCGGACCUGCAAGUCGGGGGUGAAAGCCCGGGGCUCAACCCCGGAGGGUCAGCCGAUACUGGCAGACUAGAGUACGGAAGAGGUAGCUGGAAUUCCCGGUGUAGUGGUGAAAUGCGUAGAUAUCGGGAGGAACACCAGUGGCGAAGGCGACUACCUGGCCUGUUCUUGACGCUGAGGCGCGAAAGCUAGGGGAGCAAACGGG